AUGAAUGCCUCAGCUAUACCUCAGAUGGAAUCUCCUUUGACCUGUGGACUCAUGGCUGUGGCUGCCCCACGUACAGGAUCCAGUGGGGAUGUUGCAUUGACCCAGACUCCACUGUCCCUGCCUGUCACCCCUGGAGAGUCGGCCUCCAUCUCCUGCAGGGCUGGUCAGAGCCUCCUACAUAGUAAUGGAAGCACCUAUUUGAAUUGGUAUCUACAGAAGCCAGACCAGCCUCCUCGACUCCUGAUCUAUUUGGUUUCUAGCCAGGAUUCUGGGGUCCCAGACAGGUUCAGUGGCAGUGGGCUAGGGACAGAUUUCACACUUAAAUUCAGCACGGUGGAGGCUGAAGAUGUUGGGGUUUACUACUGCAUGAAAACCCUGCAUAAUUCUCCCAAAAUGAUACAGAUCUGA